CACGGGGGAGCGAGCGUUGUUCGGAAUUACUGGGUGUAAAGGGCUCGUAGGCGGGGAAGAAGGUCGAAUGUGAAAACUCAUGGCUUAACCAUGAGCCUGCAUCCGAAACCACUUCUCUUGAGUAUCGGAGAGGAUAGCGGAACUCCUGGUGUAGCGGUGAAAUGCGUAGAUAUCAGGAGGAACGCCGGUGGCGAAGGCGGCUAUCUGGCCGAAUACUGACGCUCAGGAGCGAAGGCCGGGGGAGCAAACAGG
rnacentral:rRNA from 1 species